rnacentral:rRNA from 1 species
GAUGAACGCUGGCGGCGUGCCUAAUACAUGCAAGUCGAGCGAAAAGAGGAGGAGCUAACCCCCCUGAGGAAAGCGGCGGACGGAGGAGUGACAGGGGGAGAAACGCCCGAUUAGACUGGGAUAAACACGGGAAAAAGGAGCGAAUACGGGAGAAUAUAUUGAACAGCACGAUAGCAUAGUGAAAGACGGUUGUGAAGACACUGAUAGAUGGAUCCGCGCCGCAUUAGCAAGAUGGAAAGGUAAGGGCCUACCAAGGCGACGACGAUUAGCCGACCUGAGAGCGUGAUUGGCCACACUGGCACUGAGACACGCCCCCGACUCCUACGGUAGGCAGCGGUCGGGACUCUUCCGCAAUGGGCGAGAGCCUGACGGAGCAACACCGCGUGAGUGAUGAUGGUCUUCGGAUCGUAGAGCUCUGUUAUUUUUGAAUAUCAAAUGUUUAAUUAGCUAUGCACAUCUUGACGGUACCUAAUCAGAAAGCCCCGGCUAACUACGUG